rnacentral:rRNA from 1 species
ACCCGCUGAAUUUAAGCAUAUAACUAGGCCGAGGAAAAGAAACUAACUAGGAUUCCSUCAGUAACGGCGACUGAAGCGGGAAUAGCCCAUGCUGCCAAUCGCUUCGGCGAGUUGUGUCAGGCGUGCCUGGCAGACCUCCGGGGAGAAGUCCCUUGGAACAGGGUAUCAGAGAGGGUGACAGUCCCGUCUGUGCCUCGGAGGCUCUGUGUGAAGGCCGCAUUACUAGAGUCGAGUUGCUUGGGAUUGCAGCUCAAAGUUGGUGGUAAAUUCCAUCUAAGGCUAAACACGGGUGGGAGACCGAUAGCGAACAAGUACUGUGAAGGAAAGAUGAAAAGAACUUUGAAAAGAGAGUCAAAGAGUGCCUGAAAUUGCUGAGAGGGAACCGUAGGUAACCAAUGCGAGCCUUGAUCAUCUUCCGGCGGUUCCCUGGGACCGCCGCCCUGUGGUCUUGGCCAUCCCAGCCUUUUCAUGUUCCGGAGGAAACCAUUCGAUUUAUCGGGUAGAGGCUCUGGGGGAUGCGAAGGUUUGGCAAAUGGUUCUCUACACCCCGUCUUGAAACACGGACCAAGGAUAGAA